CAAGUUGGCGGUUGGUCGGUUUUUCGAGAACGUCCCGGCCGCCAGCCGCCACCUAAGCGGUGGCCGAUCAAUGCGCUCCCGGAUUCCCCUAAGUCUCCUCUUCCUCCAAGUGGGAAUCCUGGGCCUACUCCCCAGGGGGAACUCGAGUGCUUUCGGACUCGGGAAAGCCCGGCCCCCUUUCCUAGAGCUCUCGCGACUCCGGGCCACUUCCGGCGCCUAACGGUCCCGGGCGUCCCCGGCAGGGUGCGAGCGAGUCGCCAUUGGACUGCGGCGUGAGCUGCGCGGGACUGGCAGUGGCCGGAGAGAAGGGCUGGCGGCUGAACUGUCUAUGUCAACUAAUUCAUCCUGAGAUCCUGUCCUCUGAGUUCAGGGGAAUGCUGCCUCCAUGACAUGGCAACAUGGGCAAGAACAGAGCGACACUACGAAGUGUGAGGAUGCCAGUGAGUACAGUAUGGACUCUCCAGCUGCCUGUGCAGGAAGUAGAAAUGCAGCUCUUCCCCCAAGUUCUUCCAGUCAGUGGAAGUCUUACCUAAUCUCCCAAACUGGAUGUGUCCUCUCCUCGAUCCCUACGUCCUCAACCCCAGGCUUUGUUAGCAAAGAACUUGGCACAUAGCAAGUAUUCAAUAGCUGUCAGUGGUUCACUUGGCAUGAGGCAAGCAGCAGUAAAAAGGUAUGAGAACAUUUGAGUGCCUGGGCUGGGUUUGGAAAACAGUGGCUGUGGCCCAGGUGAGUCUUCCUCAUUGUCAUCACCACGUCUACUUCCUGCCUCAUCUUCCUUAAGCCUUAACUUCCUCCCUACAAUCGGCGGUCACACGCACAGAGAAAAGGCCAUGUGGGGCCUCCCCGGUGGCGCAG